CGGGCCGGCAAGACGGCCGCGUCGCCGGAAACGGCGCCGAGGAACGUCCGGGCUCCGCAGAGCAGGGCGGUGGGUAACACCCACCCGGGGCAACCCGCGAGACAGUGCAACAGAGAGCAGACCGCCCCGACGCUUCGGCGUCGGGGUAAGGGUGAAAGGGUGGUGUAAGAGACCACCAGCGGCCGAGGUGACUCGGCCGGCUCGGUAAACCUCGCCCGGAGCAAGGUCAGACAGAGGACUAUGGGGCUGCUCGUCCCGUCCUCGGGUAGACCGCUAGAGGGCCGUGGCAACACGUCCCCGAGAGAGAUGGCCGUCCAGGACGCUCGCGUCCGAACAGAACCCGGCGUAUCAGCCGACCCGUUCA
rnacentral:RNase_P_RNA from 1 species